rnacentral:lncRNA from 1 species
UUUUUCUUUUUUUUUUUUGGUUGCACCUGUGGCAUGCAGAAGUUCCCAGGCCAGGGAUCGAACCCGUGCCACAGCAGCAAUCCAUCACAGCAGUGACAAUGCCAGAUCCUUAACCCUCUGAACCAUAAGAAAACUCCAACAACUGGAAUUUGAAAAUAAAACAAUGGGAGUUCCCGUUGUGGCUCAGCAGAAACGAAUCUGACUAGUAGUAUCCAUGAAGAUCCAGGUUCGAUCCCUGGCUUCACUCAGUGGGUUAAGGAUCCAGUGCUGCCGUGAGCUAUGGUGUGGGUUGCAGAUGCGGCUUGGAUCUGGUGUUGCCGUGGCCGUGGCAUAGGCCAGCGGCUAAAGCUCUGAUUCAACCCCUAGCCUGGGAACUUCCAUAUGCCGUGAGUGCAGCCCUAAAAGGACCAAAAAAAAAAAAAAAAAAAAAAAAAAAAAAAAAAAAAACUAACAAAAUGUGCACUAGAUCUAAAUGACGAAAACUAUAAAACCAAUGUAAGAAAUGAAAAAUCUCAAUGAAUGGAGAGAGAGUCCAUAUUCAUGGAUAGGAAGAGUCAUAUAUUGUCAACAGUGACAAUUCUUUCCAACUUAAUCUAUAGAUUCCAUACAAUUCCAAUCAAAAUCCCAGCAAGUUAACUUUGUGGAUAUUGACAAACUGAUUCUAAAGUUUAUAUGGAAAGGCAGAAGACCCAGGAUAGCCAACACAAUACUAAAGAACAAACCUGAGGACUGAUACUGACUUCAACACUUAGUACAAAUCUACAGUAGUCAAGACAGUAUAUGACACUGGUGAAGAAAUAAAUAGAACAGAAUAGACACCCCAGAAAUAGACCCAUACACCUACAAUGAACUGAUCUUUGAUGAAAGGAACAACAAGUCAUUGGAGAAAGAUUAGUCUUUUUUGACAAAUGGUGUUGUUACAACUCUACAUCCACAUGCAAAAACAGGAAUCUAGACAUAGAUCUUUACCUACCACAAAAAGUAACUCAAAAGAGAUCACAUACUUAAUGCAAAACACCAAGCUAUGUGACUUCUAGAUAAUAACAUAAGAGAAAAUCUAGAUGACCUUGGGUUUGGAAAUGAGCUUUAAGGUACAUCAAAAGCACAAACCACGAAAGAAAAAAAUUGAUAAAGUAGACACUAUCAAAAUUGAAAACUUCUACUUUGUGAAGACACUUAAGAGAAUAAAAAAGGAAGCCACAUACCAGAAGAAAAUAUUGCAACACACAUAUAUAUUUGGUACCCAAAGGAUACCAAGAACUGGUAUCUGAAACAAUAUAAAGAAUUCUUAAAACUAAACAAUAACAAACACCCAAUAUAAAAAUUGGCAGAAGAUCUUAACAGAUAUCUCACCAAAAAAAGAUAUACAGAUGGUAAAUAAGCAUAUGAAAAGAUGUCCAACAUCGUACAUCUUCAACUGCACAUUAAAACCAUGAGAUCCCAUGCUAUGCAUCUAUUAGAAUGGGCAAAAAAUUUUAAAUCAAUGACACCAAAUGUUGGUGAGGAUUCAGAACAGCAGGAGCUGGUGAGAAUGCAAAAUGCCACAACUUUAGAAGACAGUUUGGCAGUUUCUUACAAAGGUAAACACACUCUUACUGUAAGAUCCAUCUCUGCCCACACAAAAAUCUUGCACACCAAUGUUUACAGCUGCUUUAUCCAUAAUUGCCAAAAACUGGAAGCAACCAAGAUAUUCUUUAAUAAGUGAAUGGAAAACAAACUGUAGUACAGCCAGGCAAUGGAAUAUUAUUAUUCAGUGCUAAAAAGAAAUGAUCUAUCAAGGCACAAAAAUCAUGGAGGAAACAACUGCACACUGUAAGUGAAAGAAGCCAGGCUAGAAAGGCUACAUACUAUGUGAUCCAACUAUAAGACAUCUUGGAAAAGUCAAAACUAUAUAGAGACAGUAAAAAGAUCAGUGGUUGCCAGGAUUUUGGAACAUGUUUGAGGGAGAGGGGGAGGGUGGGGAGCAAUGACUAGUGGAGCACAGGUUUAGGGCAAUAAAACUAUCAUUUGAUACUGUAAUGGUGGAUAUAGGACAUUAUGCAUUUGUCAAAACCUACAGAAAUAUACAACACACAUGGUGAACCCAUGGUUUACAUCUUAUAUUAAUAAAUUAUGGCCUUUAGUUAAAAUAAUGUAUCAAUAUUAGUUUAUUAAUUGUAACAGUCACCACACUAAGGCAAGAUGUUUUUUUGGCCAUGCCCAGAAAGAAUGUGGAAGUUCCUGGGGCCAAGGAUCCAACCCACACCACUGCAGCGACCCAAGCCACAGGAGUAACAACGCCAGAUUCUCAACCUGUUGAGCCACCAGAGACUUCACAGAUAUGGAUAAGAGGGAAAACGUGUGUGUUGGAAGGAGGAGGAUAUUACAUGGAAACUCAAUGCAACUGCUGACAAAAUUUUUCUGUACAUCUAAAACUGUUCUAAAAAAGAAAGCCUCAGUGUUUUAAACGAAUGGGGGAAUCUCAAGAGAGAAUAAAAAAGUUUGUAUUGGUUAUGAAUAAUUUUUCUCAUUCUUACAUUUGAAUAUAUUUUCCAAAUGUUUUUCAGUGGAUCAGUUAUUAUAGAAUCAGACAAAAAUCAAGCCCUCAAUUCUAAAAACCUAUACUGAAAAGCAUGAAUGUUUUGAAAAACUCAAGUUAGUCGUUAUGAGCAAAUAGGCCCAAUUUUUUCCAAUAAAACACCAAAAGGAAGGUACAGAUAUUCGGACCCGUUUUCGAACGCUAGGUAAUCCUAGCAUUACCUGGAGAGGAGUCCUGGCCAGCAGGCCAUGUGCGGGGACGCUGGCUUUCCUCUGUUCCGGACCGCAAAGGAGCCCUACCCCAGCAGCCCAAACUCUGCACAUGCGUGGUGCGUUCCCAUUUCCCUGGGCAAAGCUACACACAGCGCAGGUGCAGCCGCUGCCGGAAAGCAGCCGAGAGAGCUCCCUGCUCAACGUGUUAUCCAUCUGACUGACCUCAGGUUUGAGCAGCCUUCCCUCCAGCCCUAAGAACCUGCCUCUCGUAGCUUUAAAUGAAAGCACACCAUCAGGUGCUGUGCUUGUUUCUGACUCAAAAAGAGUCUCCUGGGUAACAAAAAACACGAUUUGCCCGCUGACCCCUCUACGCAAGAGGGAAAUCACUGAGCUCGGUGUGGUUUGAAAUUCUCUGUAAUACCACGUUCCUAUGCGGACAUCCCAUGAGGGUAAGCCUUGAAGACUUUUGAAUCGAAAUGUCCUAGGUGGGCGGUUCUUAGCCAGGGUUUCACAUCAGAACCACCAGGGGAACUUUUCCCAAGUGUACAAGCCUGCCCCCAGCCUUGACCUAGCACAUCAUAGGCUCCCAGGAAGCUGGGCAUGGGUAUUUUGAGGGUGCUCCCCUGUUAGGUCUGGUGUUUGCUGCUGCUUAGGAAACACUGUAAGGUGGCAUGAUCAUAGUCAAGGCUAUUUGAGGCUCGUCCCACUUCUACUCCUCUUUUGGUUCAGUGGGGAGCUUACCAGUGUGCUGAGGAACCGAGCAGGUUCCAGGAACCAACUCUUGUGCAUUAGGUUCUCGUCAUCUGUGCCUUUGCUGACCGCAUCCUUGAUUCCUAAAGCCAGUCUAGGAGACAAAAAAUGCAAAUGUCUAACAGUAAUUAAUCUUGCUUGGCAGCCCAGCUUGUAGCAACCUCAUCCUGGGGCUCCCAGGCUCCAUGCAGCUCCACCAGGGCUUUCUGCAGACCUCCCUUGAGGAGCGGGCUCCUCAGAUCCAGAAGAACAUGGAGGGAAGGGAACGCAGGGAAAUACGCACUAGGGAGAAGGGAACGCGCCAUUGUCAGAAGGCAAGUGGUGUUACAGAAAUUUGGGUGAAGCUAUUGAUGCCUCUUAAGAGCAGUUACCACAAGAAGACUGUCUGCAUUAGAGACAUCAAUAUCUAAUUGCAGGAGCUGACCUGCUAACCUCAGAGUUAACCCAGUCAUGUGGGUUUUACUAAGAGCUGUAGCCUCUGCUGGGCACUGGAAUGAUGAUGAAAAGGAGAAGCAGAAGAAGAACAGGAAAGACCUGGUUUCCCUGGGCAGAGUAGGGAUGAACUGGGGGGCGCCCCUGCUCUCAGCUCAGAGUGCCGGCCUGAGCUGGGGUUUUCCAGGGAUAGAGGCUGAAAGCAGCACCUUGGUUAUCAACUGGAUCUAGCUGUUUAGUUGACAACUCCCAUCAGAGAUGGGUUUGUCCGGGUCAUAUAAAUGGGGCCAUAUUCUUCAGGCAGACUCUGGGGCCUGACAGACACAUAUUUUGGGGAGCCUACAUAAGGUCUCACCAAGAAGGCAAAAAAACUUCUGUGAAGAUGGCCAUGCUGCCAUUUCUUAAGUGAUACUGGUCAAACUCUAAGUUUUGGAUGAACACAACACCAAACAGAAAUCAUCUCUUCCAUAAAAGCAGCUCAUUAAUCCUAAUAGAAUGGUCUGAGUUCCCAGUGUGGCACAGCAGAAACGAAAUCUGACAAGGAACCAGGAGGUUGCCGGUUCGAUCCCUGGCCUCACUCAUUGGGUUAAGGAUCUGCGUUGCCAUGAGCUGUGGUAUAGGUGGUAGACAUGACUCGGAUCUGGUGUUCCUCAUGGAAUGUCUGUAGAGACUGCAGGGUGAUGGGGUGGAGGCCACCAGCUUCUCUGGGCCUCUGGUCCUGCAGCCACCUGAGAAAAUGUGCUUCAAGAGGGACCAGGGGAGGAGUGCUGUGGGGCAAGGGCCCCGUGAUUGUGUCAUCUCCUGUCAGGGUAGGGAAAAGUUCUCGCUGUUCACUUUGAUCAGCAAAGAUUUUUGAGCCCCACCUACAAGACAGACCCUGCUUUGGGGCCUGGGGACUCAGUGAUGAACAGGCACACAGGUUAAGUCUCUCUGAGGACUCAGGAUUUGGGCUCUUAGACCUCUUGCAGAGUAUUUCCUCCAAGUGAGCUGUCACUGAGAGAUCUGGGGCAGGUUGCAUCCUGUCUGCAUCCAGCAGGGCAGGGUUUGCCCCUUCACAGGAGCAGAUUGAGCACGAGCUGUCCUGUGCAAAACCAGCCUCCAGGCCUCCUUCCCAGCAAGCUCUGUUAGAGGCACCCCAGCCACCUGCCCAGGAUUGGUGAGAGGACGCCUUUAACAACUCCAAAUUAUAACAGGCUAGGACACUCUCCUGCCGCAGACUAUGUAGAGAUCCCUUCUGGGUUUGCUCCUUCCUUUCUUUCUUCUUUUUUCUUUCUCUGUGUUCUUAAAAAAAAACAACUGUCACUGUAAAACAGGGUAUUAUGCAGCUUAUUCUAAAGCAGGAAGGGCCGCAGGUGCUCACGGAUGAUUUCAUGUUUCUGCAAAACCCCUUACACAGCCUCCCUUACACAGGGGAGGAGGGGCUGUCCUGGGAGGCAGCUAAUAGCCACAUGAACCCCUGUCCAGGCACUUAACAUCGGACAACGCAGCAAAACUGGGAGUGGGGAGAUUCCUGCUGAAGUCAUGGCCAAUGUUGCCAAAAUAGCGGCUGCUUCUGUACACUGGCACCGAUGCCAAAUAGAAAUGCGGAGACAGAGUUGGAGGAAACAGAAAAAGUAGCUUUAAUUGCCAGGCGAGGAGGGGAUUACAGCAGGCUAGUAUCUCAAGGACUGUGUGCCCCCGCCACCCCUUUGGAGGGGGUAGGGAGGAGUCUUACAAUGUUGGAGGAACAGGGUGUGAUCAGCUCGGGGACAUUUUCCUGAUUGGCAGGUGGUGAGGUAAUUGGGAGUCAUUCUGGUUUCAACAGGUCUGGGGUCUAUGUGCUUGUGGGCAGCACAUAGUUGACUUCUUGUCGCCUGCAAAAGAGCUCCAAGGACAUGGCUCAGAAUAUUAUCUGUAGUCUGAAGAACUAAAGGUCCUUGACUUUUUGAAUGGCUAAAUUAUUAUUAUUACCAUUUUCAUUUUUCUCUGUAUUUUUCUCACUUCUCUGAUUUUUUUUUUUUUUUUGGUCUUUUGUCUUUUUAGGGCCACACCCACGGCAUAUGGAGGGAUCUAAUCGGAGCUGUAGCUGCCGACCUACGCCACAGCCACAGCAGCACUGAAUCCAAGCAGCGUCUGCAACCUACACCACAGCUCAUGGCAACGCUGGAUCCUUAACCCACUGAGCGAGGUCAGGGAUCAAACCCAAAACCAUAUGGUUCCUAGUCAUAUGUGUUUCCACUGCGCCACAAUGGGAACUCCUCACUUCUCUGAUCAAAUUGGUUCUUUGACUGAGGUUUUUCUAUAGAUAAUAAGGCAAGCAAGCGGAGGACAUGAGCAGGGGUCCACUCUGGGAAGUCACCACAGGAUUCAGCUCAGUUACACCAACAGCUCCCAAAGGCUGCAGACCGGCAUCAAAAUCCCAGCUCUGCACUUGCUCCAUUUCAAACCAGGCCUCAAGGAGACCGAGGUGACAAAGACACUGACUAGAGAGGUGGAAAGGGCCACCUGUAUCCCCAGGCUUCCGUCCCUGACUCAAGUGCCAGGGACUUCAACUCUCCAACAAAGAGCCUCAUUCAGUUCUCAAUCCACAGCUGAGUACUUUACAGCCUGGGUUUUCUCCUCUUGAACAGGAUAUAAGGAUCCAUGUCCAAGGGAUGCAAUGAGAAUUAAAUGCCAUGACACGUUUAAAGUGCUGAAAAGAACAGUAUUGCUGUCUAUCAGCAGGGGCUGGUGGAGCUCUUCCAGAAUGGCUCUUCAAUGCUUUCAAGUUUCGAAAGCAUCCUGACCUUCCAGAACGUGACUUCCUGAGAACAUUUUCACGCAAGGGGCAGGGUCAGUGAGGCAGAAGCCAGCCUCAGUUACAAAGCCUCCCUCCCCAGCCAGAGCUGAGCAGGCGUGGCCUUGUGUAAUCAGCAUAAG